rnacentral:rRNA from 1 species
CCUACGGGUGGCUGCAGUGGGGAAUAUUGGACAAUGGGGGGAACCCUGAUCCAGCCAUGCCGCGUGUGUGAAGAAGGCCCUCGGGUUGUAAAGCACUUUCAGUGAGGAAGAACGCCUGGUGGUUAAUACCCAUCAGGAAAGACAUCACUCACAGAAGAAGCACCGGCUAACCCCGUGCCAGCAGCCGCGGUAAUACGGAGGGUGCGAGCGUUAAUCGGAAUUACUGGGCGUAAAGCGCGCGUAGGUGGCUUGAUAAGCCGGUUGUGAAAGCCCCGGGCUCAACCUGGGAACGGCAUCCGGAACUGUCAAGCUAGAGUGCAGGAGAGGAAGGUAGAAUUCCCGGUGUAGCGGUGAAAUGCGUAGAGAUCGGGAGGAAUACCAGUGGCGAAGGCGGCCUUCUGGACUGACACUGACACUGAGGUGCGAAAGCGUGGGUAGCAAACAGGAUUAGAUACCCCGGUAGUC